rnacentral:ncRNA from 22 species
GAAUAUAAAAAAGAUAUAGGUGCAUUAUUAUGCUGAAAAGGGAAGCCAGAUGAAAAGUCUGCACGGUCCCGCCGCUGUGAAAAAGGAGUCCUUAUUUAUAUGUCACUGGGAAACUGGGAAGGCUAUAAGGAUGAUGAUCUUAAGUCAGAAGACCUGCCUAUAUUGUUUAGGAACCA